GAUAGUAUACUCAAGAGUAAUCAUCAGGUGUCGGAGUCUCCCAGAACUCGGGUCGAACUAAAUGGAACCAUCUAUUGAUCGGGUGCUCAACCACACCGCAAGACAGACAUCAGCAUCAGUUGUCGGUUAACCGUAAAGCAGGCGUGUGGUUUUUCAAGUGUGUCAACCGUUUUAUUCGAAGUUUCUUGAAACCGUUUAAUCCGGAUUGUAGAAAGUUAUUGCUUCCGGUGAUAUAUUUAUCUUUUUGCCUGACCGAUAACGCAGCUACUAGGCUGAGCUUAGAUAUUUUAUGCGGUUUAGUAAAAAAGUGUGAUCACAAGGGCCGUCGAAGUGAAUACGGGUUUGGCCGAGAAAUAAAGAGGUUAUCUGCAUGGUAUUCACUUUUUGCAUGAUGGACCCCACAAUUAUGGGCUAGGUUCCAUAACGUGGAUAUGAGAUCGACCUAUUUCUUUCCGGAGCUUGUUUUAUUUUGCAAACAAGUAUCCAGAGUGGUUAUUCUGAUGGCGCCAAAAGCCUAUCCGAACAAAAUGGAUUCCGGCUUGGAUUGCAUGCGUGCAUGCUUUAAAAGAUGGCUGUCGUCGAGAGAUACACUUUAGUUUAAGACACAACUACAC